rnacentral:lncRNA from 1 species
UUUUAAAGUGGCUGUUGCACAUACUUCUUUCAACUCAUUUGGAAAAAUAAACUGGUAAGUUUGCAGUUUAUUCCCAAGACUGAUACUGUCAUGGGCCUCCAGUAGGGCAAAGCUUCAAAGUGACAUUCAUAACUUUGAGAAGUAGCAUCAAAAAGAAUAGGAUGAAGCUUAGCAGGGAGAGGUGCAAAAUGCUGCACUAUGGGCAUAACAGCCAUUGACUCGAGUGACUUUUACUGAAUCUAAUUUGUUGGCAAUUAACACCACGUUCUGGACAGUAAUUUGGAUAUUAGCUUAAAAAAAACCCCACACCUUUCUUCCAGGCUCGAUGCCAACAACUACGCUGUGCCUUAAGAAACCCGAGCUGUUUACUGCCCCCCUGAGGGAGGAAGGGAGCGGCGCCGCCAUGUUAGGCUCUUCCCGGGGGCGGUGCCACCAUGUCGCGCUCCUCCUUGCCGCUGCCCGGCUGCCUUCGGGAGGUGGCUCCACGUGCUGUGGCUUUUGGGGUGCCCGGGGGCCAUGGCUGCGCCCUGCAGCCUCCAGGAGCCGUUCUGCGGCCGUUUAGCUGCCACCAGGUGCACGGGCUGUGCUGCGACUCCUGGCCCCGCAAACCCCGCAGGUCGUGUUGGUGGCGUUACGUGCCAGGGAGGAAGCACAGGCUGGCUUAGGACCAUAUUGUUUUUCCACGCUGCUGAGGACUUCUGAGAUGGAAAACCAUCUGCAAGUUUGCUUACAGAUCAACCCCUUGUGAAGCCCAGGACAUAAGAAAGCACCAUGAAAAAUUAUCCGCUUAUUUCCAGUGCACAAGGAACAUGGAGUGGAGAUGGUCAGGAGAUCGUGUUCUUUGGGCCACUUGUAAUAUUUACCAGGUUGUGUCCGUGUGACCAGCAGUGUGGGCGGGUGACCUCUCAGAACUGCGGCUUUCCCCUCACUGCCAAGGGUUUUAUUGUUGUUGUCCUGGCUGAAAUUAGCAGGCUGUCGGGAAUGCACACGUUUGUUGUGAGUGAUUGCAGUCACUCAGUUCUUCAAGACCAAAGCUUUACGUAAAUUAAAUUAAUAAUAAAAAAAUGUGUUCAGACA